GCCUGAGAAGAUCACUUGAAGUAACAACUCCCCGUGGUGUGACACUCCUCAGUUGCAGCAGUCGUUGAGCGCUCCAAGAAACAGAGCACCAUAAGGAUGAACAACAUGUUGUCUCUGAUGGUCUUGUGCCUGCUGGGAGCCACAUCCCUGAGUGACGCGGGGUAUUCCUACUCCCCAGCGGUGGGCAAGGGAGAUGGGACAGUGUACGCUACCGAGGGAGAAGGACACAUCACUGCAGUACGAGUCUGGGAAAUCUACA